rnacentral:rRNA from 1 species
UACGUAGGGUGCAAGCGUUAAUCGGAAUUACUGGGCGUAAAGCGCGCGUAGGUGGUUACUCAAGUCGGAUGUGAAAGCCCUCGGCUUAACUGAGGAAGUGCACCCGAAACUGAGUAGCUAGAGUACCAAAGAGGGUCGCGGAAUUCCCGGUGUAGAGGUGAAAUUCGUAGAUAUCGGGAGGAACACCGGUGGCGAAGGCGGCGACCUGGGUGGAUACUGACGCUGAGGCGCGAAAGCGUGGGGAGCGAUCCGG